UACGAACCGUCCAAACGUUAUUCGGAAUUAUUGGGCGUAAAGGGCGCGUAGGCGGCUUUCAAGUGACGGGUGAAAUCCCUCGGCUUAACCGAGGAACUGCCUGUCAGACUGGAAGGCUGAGACCGGGAGAGGUGAGUGGAAUUCCCAGUGUAGCGGUGAAAAUGCGUAGAUAUUGGGAGGAACACCAGUGGCGAAGGCGGCUCACUGGCCCCGAUACUGACGCUGAGGCACGAAAGCGUGGGGAGCGAACAGG
rnacentral:rRNA from 1 species